GGCGGCGUGCUUAACACAUGCAAGUCGAACGGAAAGGCCCUGCUUUUGUGGGGUGCUCGAGUGGCGAACGGGUGAGUAACACGUGAGUAACCUGCCCUUGACUUUGGGAUAACUUCAGGAAACUGGGGCUAAUACCGGAUAGGAGCUCCUGCUGCAUGGUGGGGGUUGGAAAGUUUCGGCGGUUGGGGAUGGACUCGCGGCUUAUCAGCUUGUUGGUGGGGUAGUGGCUUACCAAGGCUUUGACGGGUAGCCGGCCUGAGAGGGUGACCGGCCACAUUGGGACUGAGAUACGGCCCAGACUCCUACGGGAGGCAGCAGUGGGGAAUAUUGCACAAUGGGCGGAAGCCUGAUGCAGCAACGCCGCGUGCGGGAUGACGGCCUUCGGGUUGUAAACCGCUUUCGCCUGUGACGAAGCGUGAGUGACGGUAAUGGGUAAAGAAGCACCGGCUAACUACGUGCCAGCAGCCGCGGUGAUACGUAGGGUGCGAGCGUUGUCCGGAUUUAUUGGGCGUAAAGGGCUCGUAGGUGGUUGAUCGCGUCGGAAGUGUAAUCUUGGGGCUUAACCCUGAGCGUGCUUUCGAUACGGGUUGACUUGAGGAAGGUAGGGGAGAAUGGAAUUCCUGGUGGAGCGGUGGAAUGCGCAGAUAUCAGGAGGAACACCAGUGGCGAAGGCGGUUCUCUGGGCCUUUCCUGACGCUGAGGAGCGAAAGCGUGGGGAGCGAACAGGCUUAGAUACCCUGGUAGUCCACGCUGUAAACGGUGGGUACUAGGUGUGGGGUCCAUUCCACGGGUUCCGUGCCGUAGCUAACGCUUUAAGUACCCCGCCUGGGGAGUACGGCCGCAAGGCUAAAACUCAAAGGAAUUGACGGGGCCCCGCACAAGCGGCGGAGCAUGCGGAUUAAUUCGAUGCAACGCGUAGAACCUUACCUGGGUUUGACAUGGAUCGGGAGUGCUCAGAGAUGGGUGUGCCUCUUUUGGGGUCGGUUCACAGGUGGUGCAUGGCUGUCGUCAGCUCGUGUCGUGAGAUGUUGGGUUAAGUCCCGCAACGAGCGCAACCCUUGUUCACUGUUGCCAGCACGUUAUGGUGGGGACUCAGUGGAGACCGCCGGGGUCAACUCGGAGGAAGGUGGGGAUGACGUCAAGUCAUCAUGCCCCUUAUGUCCAGGGCUUCACGCAUGCUACAAUGGCUGGUACAGAGAGUGGCGAGCCUGUGAGGGUGAGCGAAUCUCGGAAAGCCGGUCUCAGUUCGGAUUGGGGUCUGCAACUCGACCUCAUGAAGUCGGAGUCGCUAGUAAUCGCAGAUCAGCAACGCUGCGGUGAAUACGUUCCCGGGGCUUGUACACACCGCCCGUCAAGUCAUGAAAGUUGGUAACACCCGAAGCCGGUGGCCUAACCGUUGUGGGGGAGCCGUCGAAGGUGGGACUGGUGAUUAGG
rnacentral:rRNA from 1 species